AAGACUAUACUUUCAGGGAUCAUUUCUAUAGUUUCAUUUCUAUAGUUUGUUACUAGAGAGUUUCUCCGAAUGUGUGGAGUACUCGAAACCACAAGGAGGAGACAGUGUCCCUUCCUGAGCGUGAAGCUUCUCCAGCUGCCCUUUGCCAUUGAUGAUCGUUUUUCUCCUCCUUUGGGGGAGUAAGAGGGAGGGACACCGGUUGAAUGGUU
ensembl:snoRNA